rnacentral:lncRNA from 1 species
GGGAGAAGAACACACUAAAAGUAGAGAUGGUUUUACAGCUACAAUGGCAUUGUAAAGAAGAAACAAGUGUUACCAGACCAGACCAGAUGGUCAAGUCAGUACAACAAUAUCAUGUUGUUUACAAAACUGGCAAUAGGAAGAUAACGAUGGAUGAGAGAUCAAGGGAGAUGGAGCAACCUUCUAGUCUUAAAAGGGUGCUGCUUGAGCAUGAAAAAUGAUCAAUUAGGGAAGUAGAGCUGGCACCAAGGUUGCAAGACAGAGACUUGAUGCAUCUACAAAUCCAGCAACA